GCGUUCCUGACUAGUAGCAUUGGGUCAUGAACUGAGAACUCUGUGUUUUUGUUUACAUAUAAAAUCCACCUUGUUUUCAUUACUAGGCAAAAACCACGGAACAUCAUGUCAGAAAAGUGACGACCUCAACUCACGUCUGCAGCCUCGCGGCUCCUUCACAUUCACCGACGUCGUUCAACGUCCUGCAUCUGUGAACGAAGAAACUCCGUUUUACUUCCCAAACAGUGCGAGUUGCUCCGAGGUGUUUUUGUUUUCUGUCAACAAUAAAGUGUUUGACCGACAACAGCGCUGCAGCAUCGAGAUGUGGUAUAAAAGCUGCAUCAACCGGCGGCACGGACUGCAAGACAAUGUUGGUCUCAGAUGGUAACUUGACUUUAUCUGGCAAAAAUCUGUGUCUGUGAUUGAUUGGCCUCUGCCUCCUAAAAAAAGGUCUCCUAAAAUACAGAAAAAAAAAGUGCUACAAAAGACAAAAGUUCUGUUGUCUGUUAAAUCAAUGCAUAAAA